rnacentral:sRNA from 1 species
UUGAGGGCACUCUGUGAAGAAUGAAGUCUUGUUUAUCCACAGAACAGGCACAGCAUGGGCCAUGGCAGUUUCCCCAUGCCACACUUAACACCUGUCAGCUCUGGCCCAGACUGACCAGGCCCUGAAUGUCAGAGGGAAAUUCAGUCUCCAGGCCCUAUUUAAGUCUUGGUCUCU